rnacentral:tRNA from 5 species
UCUCAGGUAGGCCGGGCAGGGGAGGCACUACCGCUUCUGGUGUGGAAGAUGCCUGUGUUUCCGGGACAUAAAUCAGCGUUCUGACCGUGGUCUGUGCG